AAGUCGUAACAAGGUUUCCGUAGGUGAACCUGCGGAAGGAUCAUUAAAUGAAACUGCCCACACAGGCAACCGAAGCACAACGGAUUGGCGGGAGCCAGCCUGAUGUGUAUCACCAUUUGUUGAAACACCUCCUUUUGCUUUGGCAGCACCCGAUGCUUAAUCGCGGAGGGGUAAGGCUGUCGAAAGCCUACAACAAAACCAGUUGAUGAAAUGUCAUGCUGUCUGAUACUGCUUAGUAUUUGAGAAAUCAAAAAAUCUACAUUAAAACUUUUAGCAACGGAUCUCUUGGUUCUC
rnacentral:misc_RNA from 1 species